UGGGGAAUAUUGCACAAUGGGCGCACGCCUGAUGCAGCCAUGCCGCGUGUAUGAAGAAGGCCUUCGGGUUGUAAAGUACUUUCAGCGGGGAGGAAGGUGUUGUGGUUAAUAACCACAGCAAUUGACGUUACCCGCAGAAGAAGCACCGGCUAACUCCGUGCCAGCAGCCGCGGUAAUACGGAGGGUGCAAGCGUUAAUCGGAAUUACUGGGCGUAAAGCGCACGCAGGCGGUCUGUCAAGUCGGAUGUGAAAUCCCCGGGCUCAACCUGGGAACUGCAUCCGAAACUGGCAGGCUUGAGUCUUGUAGAGGGGGGUAGAAUUCCAGGUGUAGCGGUGAAAUGCGUAGAGAUCUGGAGGAAUACCGGUGGCGAAGGCGGCCCCCUGGACAAAGACUGACGCUCAGGUGCGAAAGCGUGGGGAGCAAACA
rnacentral:rRNA from 1 species